AGAAAUGACUGCUAAUACCGCAUAUGCCUUAGUAUCGCAUGAUACAAAAGGGAAAGGAGCAAUCCGCUGAUAGAUGGGCUUGCGUCUGAUUAGCUAGUUGGUGGGGUAAAGGCCUACCAAGGCGACGAUCAGUAGCCGGACUGAGAGGUUGAACGGCCACAUUGGGACUGAGAUACGGCCCAGACUCCUACGGGAGGCAGCAGUCGGGAAUAUUGCGCAAUGGAGGAAACUCUGACGCAGUGACGCCGCGUGCAGGAAGAAGGUUUUCGGAUUGUAAACUGCUUUAGACAGGUUUUAAACAAGACAGUACCUGUAGAAUAAGCUCCGGCUAACUACGUGCCAGCAGCCGCGGUAAUACGUAGGGAGCAAGCGUUAUCCGGAUUUAUUGGGUGUAAAGGGUGCGUAGACGGGAAGGCAAGUUGGUUGUGAAAUCCCUCGGCUUAACUGAGGAACUGCAACCAAAACUAUCUUUCUUGAGUGCUGGAGAGGAAAGUGGAAUUCCUAGUGUAGCGGUGAAAUGCGUAGAUAUUAGGAGGAACACCAGUGGCGAAAGCGACUUUCUGGACAGUAACUGACGUUGAGGCACGAAAGUGUGGGGAGCAAACAGGAUUAGAUACCCUGGUAGUCCACACCGUANACGAUGAAUACUCGCUGUUUGCGAUAUACAGUAAGCGGCCAAGCGAAAGCAUUAAGUAUUCCACCUGGGGAGUACGCCGGCAACGGUGAAACUCAAAGGAAUUG
rnacentral:rRNA from 1 species